UAACGUUUGUACCAGAAAGUCAAUGUUAAAAUGGCGGCUACUGACUGGCAAUCCUCGUUUUUCGCAUGCCUGUUGUAAUUUCAUCUCCUUCAUUACAAUCUCAGCAUCCUCCUCGCCCUUCAAUUCGAUUCCGUUUUACCCUACAAAUUACAGUUCAAAGAGAAAACCCUAACCUCCGAAUGCUGCUGCAGAGCUAAAACCCCUCUCUUCCCUUCCCAUGGCCUGCCUUCGUAGGCUGCUUCCUCUCUGCUCUUCCAUCAACAGGACGAGCUUCCCAUCUUCUGGUUCUGGAGCUCUGCAAGGUUUUCGAAGCUAUGGAGCAAUUGCUUCCGAGAAAACUCUGUUGAAAUUUGGAGAUGGAGAGACUCGACCUGAAGCUGAUACUUCAGUUCUUAAUGAUGAGAUAGCACAGAUUCGACGUGAAUUUGAUGCUGCGAAGCAGAGUUUCCUCAAGAUUCCAGCCGCACUUAAAGCAAUGCCUAAAAUGAAUCCGAAAGGGAUAUAUGUAAAUAAAAACCUGAGAUUGGACAAUAUUCAAGUUUAUGGAUUUGACUAUGAUUACACGCUGGUACAUUAUUCUGCCAAUUUACAGAGCUUGAUAUAUGAUCUGGCAAAGGAGCAUAUGGUAAAUGAGUUUCGGUACCCUGAGGUUUGCAUGGCAUUUAAGUAUGAUUCGACUUUUCCCAUUAGAGGAUUGUAUUAUGAUAAGCUAAAAGGGUGCCUAUUGAAGCUGGAUUUUUUUGGGUCAAUUGAGCCAGAUGGAUGCUACUAUGGUCGUCGUAAGCUUAGCAGGAGGGAAAUUGAAGAAAUAUAUGGCACACGACGUAUUGGUCGUGAUCAGGCCCGGGGACUUGUUGGGUUGAUGGAUUUCUUUUGCUUUAGCGAGGCAUGCCUCAUUUCAGAUAUCGUGCAAUAUUUUGUUGAUGCUAAGCUGGAAUUUGAUGCUUGCUACAUCUAUCAAGAUGUAAAUCGUGCAAUUCAGCAUGUUCAUCGCAGUGGCUUGGUUCAUAGAGGAAUUCUUUCUGACCCCCAUAGAUAUCUAGUAAAAAAUGGACAACUGUUACACUUUCUCAAGAUGCUCAGGGAGAAGGGAAAGAAACUAUUCUUGCUGACUAACUCUCCAUAUUACUUUGUGGAUGGAGGAAUGACCUUUAUGUUGGAGGAUUCUAAGGAAUACAGAGACUCCUGGAGGGAACUUUUUGAUGUUGUGAUUGCUAAAGCCAAUAAGCCAGAUUUCUACACAUCUGAGCAUCCAUUCCGUUUCUAUGACACGGAGAAGGAUAAUUUAGCUUUCAAGAAGGUGGAUGAAUUUCUUCCUAAUAAAAUAUAUUACCAUGGAUGCCUUAAAUCCUUCCUUCAUAUUACCAAGUGGAAGGGACCAGAGGUGAUGUACUUUGGAGACCACCUAUUUAGCGACCUUAGGGGGCCUGCAAAAGCUGGCUGGCGCACUGCUGCUAUAAUUCAUGAGCUAGAAGAUGAAAUACUUAUUCAAAACAAGGAUACUUACCGCUUGGAACAGUGCUCACAUAUGGUGAUCAAAUGCAAAAUUUCAUAUAGUACAAGAAUUGCUUGGUAGAUUGCACGCUACUGUUGCUUUUACUCAGAAGAGGGAAGCUUACACGUCACUGUUGGAGGAGUUAAAUGAAUGGAGGCAGGAGGCAAGUCACAAGAUGAAAAGAAUGUUUAAUAGGUCCUUUGGGGCCACAUUUCUUACGGAUAAAGGUCAGGAAUCUGCUUUUGCCUAUCACAUUCAUCAGUAUGCAGAUGUCUAUACCAGUAAGCCAGAGAAUUUUUUGCUCUAUCCACCUGAAGCAUGGCUCCAUGUGCCCUUCGAUAUUAAGAUUAUGCCACAUCAUGUGAAGGUUCCAUCAAGCUUGUUCAAAAAUGAAUGAAUAUGAUCCCUUGGCAGCAUCAAGGAUGGGUUAUCAUGCAGAUUCGUGUUCUUUGUAAGCGUAUCAAGCUGCAGGUUCUUUCAUUCUUUGAAUUGCAUACUGAACCCACAAAAUUAGUCACUGGAAGACGGGAAAAAAAGAAAAACCACGGAAAUUUUAACUGAAUGGAAACUAUAGCCUGAUUUAACUUGAAGGGCAAAUGUUCUCAUCAGAGAAAUUCUUCAUUGGUGAAUAACAUUAACUGAAGAAAUUUGUUUUAACUUUAGAUACAAGAUUUAUAGACCAUGUAUAGUUGGUUAUUAUACACGAUGAAGAUGAUUCCUUUCUAACAACAAUUUAGGAGGCAUUAUAAUUUGCAGUGUUGUAUUUUAUUUCAUCAAACGCAUAUUAAGCCUGGUAACUGCAUGAGCUACAAGAUUAUUUAACUUUUGUUAAUCAGAAGUGUUCUAGGAUUCAUAUAGCCGACCUCACUUAGAUUUGGUGGUGGUGGUGGUGGUGUUGUUAAUCAGAAGCGUUAUUUUUCAUUUUGGGGUUAUCCUAAUCAGUUAUAUUUGUCAAAUCUGGCCUAGCGGGGAAAGUUUCCACGCAGUUUCUCCUGGCAUGAAAUUGAAGGGCCCUGAUGCUUGACAUUCCUUUCAUCAGCGGACCACAAGUUUCUGUCCCCACUCCAAUUUGGAUCCCACAUACACUUAUAUGUGCUCUCUGUCCAAAUGAUGGGUUGCGUUGCGUGCCCCAUAUUACAACGCAGCCAAUCUUUUGGUGCGUGUUCCCUUUCCAAACAUAACAAUGUCACUUUGACAUUUUGUCUUCUUUUUCUUCAUUUUUCAAGUCACAGAUUUCGAACUAAACUCAAACAAACGAAUGAUAAGUUCUAUAUUUGACUAUUA